CAUAUUCAACGACUCUAGUACAGCUUUACCCUAUAUUUGUUGCAACAUACCGACCAAGUACUCGUACCGGCGCUCCCUGUGAAUCCUACUGUGUGGGGUCGGGAACAAGCAGUUGUCCUAACACGAUGGCGGAGUGGGAUCUAGAAGUUUCCAUGGAAAUGCCGCACUGGCUCUUCUCUGCCUAUGGCGCCCAUCCACUAUAAAGAAAAAGUGACUCGAGGCAGUUAUCCAACCAUGGUGGGGGAGGUGGCGAACCGGACGUCGCCCCCCUGGAGGAGCUUGGAUGGCAAGGUCGUGAUGGUCACCGGCGCCUCCUCCGGCAUUGGCUGGGACCAUUGCCUCGACCUCGCCAGGGCCGGUUGCCGGAUCAUCGAGGCCGCGCGGCGGACAGACCGGCUGAGAUCCAUCUGCGAGGAGAUCAACGGUCCGGAUCGUCAGAGACCUCCGCCAUCCGAUCGGUGGCGAUCGAGCUGGAUAUGAGCUCGGGUGAGCCGGCGAUCUCGGCCUCGGUUCAGAGGGCGUGGGAUACGUUUGAUCGGAUCGAUGGGUUGGUGAACAACGCCGGAAUUCGAGGUAAAUAUUUUUCCCUCUCGUUUUUCUCUUUCUUUUGAUGAAGGUAGUUCCGAGAUCAUCAAGAUUUCGGUGCUCAAUUCGUAGGGCACUUGCUGUCCUACACGAGAAUGUUCCUUUGGAGUCCUGGAUCACACAAAAAUAGGAAUUAAAGUGGGCAUUCAAGAAUGGUGAGAGAGAGAGAGAGAGAGAGGAUUGAUGGCCGAUUCCUUUCUUCUUGGCCGUCGGGUUAUGCUGUUAAAAGCUUUAUGAGCAUUUAGAUCGGGAUCAUUAUUUGUUGUCGAUAAAGCUUAGUGAAGAAGAGUAUAUAUAUAUAUAAUAAGAAAGGAGAUUGUUCUUUGUGGUUGUUGUUUUUGUUGUCCUAUGAGCAUUUAGAUCGGGAUCAUUUAGAGAGAGAGAGAGAGAGAGAGGAUUAUGCUGGUAAAAGCUUUAUGGGUAAUUAGAUCGGGAUCAUUGUUUGUUGUCGAUAAAGCCAUGUGAAGCAGGGUACAGAAUGAGAAUGUUCUUUGUUGUUGUUCUAUGCAUGACACAGGAAAGAAUCAACCAAUGAAUCUUGAAUUAUAAUGGGAUGUCAGAUUGGGAAAGUUUGCUCAGAGUUAUUUGGAGAUAUUCUUUAAGUUAGGUUUUAAGAUCUCAAGACGGUGGUAGCAGGAUCCCAGCAUUUGACAUGGAUUGAACUGUGAGCUUAGCAAACUUCAAGAACUCCAAUCAUAUGAGUUACCGGUGUUAUAUAGAUUGUAUAGGUGAAUCGAUAUAUGGAAGAUGCCUCGAGAAAAGAAAUAGUACGCUGUCUUUGAACUGCUAGUCUCUGAUGAUUUCUUUUAAUCCUCUUCAUGUUCGGUUUCGCAGCAAAGAUGUAUAUAUUCUUCUUCACGUUC